rnacentral:rRNA from 1 species
GUCCACGCCCUAAACGAUGAUAACUCGAUGUUAGCGAUAUACUGUUAGCGUCUAAGCGAAAGCAUUAAGUUAUCCACCUGGGGAGUACGGUCGCAAGAUUGAAACUCAAAGGAAUUGACGGGGGCCCGCACAAGCGGAGGAGCAUGUGGUUUAAUUCGAUGAUACGCGAGGAACCUUACCUGGGCUUGAAAGUUAGUGACGUUCCGAGAAAUCGGGAUUCCCGCAAGGGCACGAAACUAGGUGCUGCAUGGCUGUCGU